GACGAACGCUGGCGGCGUGCCUAACACAUGCAAGUCGAGCGAAUGAAGUUCCUUCGGGAAUGGAUUUAGCGGCGGACGGGUGAGUAACACGUGGGCAACCUGCCUCAUAGAGGGGAAUAGCCUUCCGAAAGGGAGAUUAAUACCGCAUAAGAUUGUAGUAUCGCAUGAUACAGCAAUUAAAGGAGCAAUCCGCUAUGAGAUGGGCCCGCGGCGCAUUAGCUAGUUGGUGAGGUAACGGCCCACCAAGGCGACGAUGCGUAGCCGACCUGUGAGGGUGAUCGGCCACAUUGGGACUGAGACACGGCCCAGACUCCUACGGGAGGCAGCAGUGGGGAAUAUUGCAAAAUGGGGGAAACCCUGAUGCAGCAACGCCGCGUGAGUGAUGACGGCCUGCGGGUUGUAAAGCUCUGUCUUCAGGGACGAUAAUGACGGUACCUGAGGAGGAAGCCACGGCUAACUACGUG
rnacentral:rRNA from 1 species